rnacentral:lncRNA from 1 species
CUGCUUAUAUGGUAAGCAACCUGCAAAUACAGUAAACUGCAUAUACGAUAUAUUGCAUACAUGAUAUAUUCAAAAUCGGUGUCUAAACUACAUAUACGGUAUGUGAUAAUCCAGUUUCAUUAACACCAUUAUAUUCCAACAUCUAAUCUAGACAUGCAUUUGGAAUCUGACUCGAUCGAUUAAUUCAUUUUAAUUCUCCAAUUCUCGUUAUUGAUCAAAAACCAAGGAAAAUUCGAAUGGAAGCUAGACUAAUCAACAUGAAAUUGUAUAAUAACCCUGAUUCUUAUUGAAAUUAAUCUGCAUUGCCACAUUUCUUGUUUACUGGAGACUUCAGUCUUUCCUGGACAUCAACGACAAUCAAAAUGCCUAAAAUAUAUCUACUUCGAAAAGUAACGGGCAACCUUCCAUAAACGUUGAGUAUGGUUAAUUCCGUGCUCGACCUGGAAAACAGGCAUUGUUAAUGAUGACUUCUAUGUAAAACAAUUAUACAAGUACUUCCAACCAUGUUAUUCAAGGUGUAAUUGAAAAUUUACGAUGGAAGUAAAGCCUCUCACUCAAGGGCGGAGUCAAGAUAUUAGUUCAGUGCGAGCAAACUUUUUUCAACGCCAAACGUCAAGGUUUUGGUCAUGGAUUUAAUGAGAUAAAAAAUAAAAAAAUAUUGCGACAAUACUAAAAACAACAUAAUUUAAGCAAUUCGCAUUUCACAGGGCAACACUAUCAUCAAUUCACAGAUUCACAAUGCAGAUUUGAACGUUGCUACAUUACCAGUUACUGUCAAAGCCGCUUGAAGAGCUACCAAGACCUUGAAAUCAUAGGCAAAGUAAAUGUUUGAUUUAAUACAUCUGACUUAAUCUACUUUGAAUCAAGCACCAGCUUCCUAGUUUACAGCAUUUAAUGUCCAUUGCUGAAGAAGAAAAGUAGACUAUGCUUCUCACUUUUUACCAUUUCAACCAAUUAAAAGCUACCAGCAUAGUAUCGUCAUAAUAACCAAACAAUUGUUCGACCAUCAACCUCCCACUCAAUAACGUCAUUCGCAUUUCACAGGGCAAAACUAUCAUCAUUCACAAAUUCACAAUUUCAUUCACAAGGCAAUAUAUACUAUUUCAAAAUUCCAGUGACAGAGACUCAGAGAGUAAGCAACUCACAGUGUAGGCAGUGGCGGUGCCGCUUCGAGUUCGAGCAAUUGAAGAGCUACUAAUUUCAUACGUUAAAAACAAAAACAAAAAAGAAAAAGAAAAAAAAAACAAAUAUUAUUA